GAGUGGGGAACGAAACCCACGGGAAAACUUAGGGCGUAAUACCGCAUAAUAUCCUGACCUCUCCGGGGUUUGGAUCAAAGCUGGGGAUCGCAAGACCUGGCGCUUAAGGAGGAGCCUGCGGCUGAUUAGCUUGUUGGUGGGGUAAAGGCCUACCAAGGCGACGAUCAGUAGCCGGCCUGAGAGGGUGAUCGGCCACACUGGAACUGAGACACGGUCCAG
rnacentral:rRNA from 1 species